rnacentral:tRNA from 3 species
GGCCCGUUGGUCAAGCGGUUAAGACAUCGCCCUUUCACGGCGGAAACAUGGGUUCGAUUCCCGUACGGGUCACCA